rnacentral:rRNA from 1 species
UACGUAGGGGGCGAGCGUUGUCCGGAAUUAUUGGGCGUAAAGAGCGUGUAGGCUGUUCGGUAAGUCUGCCGUGAAAACCUGAGGCUCAACCUCGGGCGUGCGGUGGAUACUGCAGGGCUAGAGUCCGGAAGAGGCGAGUGGAAUUCCUGGUGUAGCGGUGGAAUGCGCAGAUAUCAGGAGGAACACCAAUAGCGAAGGCGGCUCACUGGCCCGAUACUGACGCUGGAGGCACGAAAGCGUGGGGAGCAAACAGG